AAAGAUUAAGCCAUGCAUGUCUAAGCACAUGCCUUAAUACGGUGAAGCCGCGAAUAGCUCAUUACAACAGCCACCGUUUACUAGAAUAUAGUUAUCCUACUUGGAUAACUGUGGCAAUUCUAGAGCUAAUACAUGCAAAAAAGCUCUGACCGCAAGGAACGAGCGCAUUUAUUAGAAUAAAAACCAAUCGGGUUUCGGCCCGUAAUUUGGUGAAUCUGAAUAACUUUGCCAAUCGCACAGUCCUAGUACUGGCGAUGUAUCUUUCAAGUGUCUGCCUUAUCAACUUUCGAUGGUAGGUUAUACGCCUACCAUGGUAGUAACGGGUAACGGAGAAUAAGGGUUCGACUCCGGAGAGGGAGCCUGAGAAACGGCUACCACAUCCAAGGAAGGCAGCAGGCGCGCAAAUUACCCACUUCCAGAACGGAGAGGUAGUGACGAAAAAUAACGAGACAGUCCUCUUCGAGGUCUGUCAUCGGAAUGGGUACAAUUUAAAUCCUUUAACGAGGAUCUAUUGGAGGGCAAGUCUGGUGCCAGCAGCCGCGGUAAUUCCAGCUCCAAUAGCGUAUAUUAAAGUUGUUGCGGUUAAAACGCUCGUAGUUGGAUCUGCGGCCUCGGAGAACGGUCCCCCGAAAGGGUGGUCACUGUCUCUCCUAGCCUAAAUUCGAGUCGUCUCUAGGUGCUCUUUACCGAGUGCCUAGAGUGACUAGAACGUUUACUUUGAAAAAAUUAGAGUGCUUAAAGCAGGCGAAAUAGCCUGAAUAAGGUGCAUGGAAUAAUGGAAUAGGACCUCGGUUCUAUUUUGUUGGUUUUCGGAACCCGAGGUAAUGAUUAAGAGGAACAGACGGGGGCAUUCGUAUUCCGGCGCUAGAGGUGAAAUUCUUGGACCGCCGGAAGACGGACAACUGCGAAAGCAUUUGCCAAGAAUG
rnacentral:rRNA from 2 species